CGGCAGCGCGAAGAAAGCUUGCUUUCUUUGGCGGCGAGUGGCGAACGGGUGAGUAAUAUAUCGGAACGUGCCCAGUAGCGGGGGAUAACUACGCGAAAGCGUGGCUAAUACCGCAUACGCCCUACGGGGGAAAGGGGGGGAUCGCAAGACCUCUCACUAUUGGAGCGGCCGAUACCAGAUUAGCUUGUUGGUGAGGUAAAGGCUCACCAAGGCCGCGAUCUGUAGCUGGUUUGAGAGGACGACCAGCCACACUGGGACUGAGACACGGCCCAGACUCCUACGGGAGGCAGCAGUGGGGAAUUUUGGACAAUGGGGGAAACCCUGAUCCAGCCAUCCCGCGUGUGCGAUGAAGGCCUUCGGGUUGUAAAGCAUUUUUGGCAGGAAAAAGAAGGCCCCGGAUACCUCCUGGUGCUGAAGCCCGACCCUCAU
rnacentral:rRNA from 1 species